AACUUUCAACAACGGAUCUCUUGGUUCCAGCAUCGAUGAAAAACGCAGCGAAAUGCGAUAAGUAAUGUGAAUUGCAAAAUUCAGUGAAUCAUCGAAUCUUUGAACGCACAUUGCGCCCCUCGGCAUUCCGGGGGGCAUGCCUGUUCGAGCGUCA
rnacentral:rRNA from 1 species